UCACAUGGAUGAGCAAAACAAAGGUGGUUUCUUAAGAUAGAAUCUACUCCUGCUGAAGAUGCUAUGAA
rnacentral:pre_miRNA from 1 species